rnacentral:rRNA from 1 species
GAAGGACGGGCUGGAACCUCUCGGGGUUACAGCCUUGCUGAAUUAUUCACCCUUGUCUUUUGCGUACUUCUUGUUUCCUUGGUGGGUUCGCCCACCACUAGGACAAACAUAAACCUUUUGUAAUUGCAAUCAGCGUCAGUAACAAAUUAAUAAUUACAACUUUCAACAACGGAUCUCUUGGUUCUGGCAUCGAUGAAGAACGCAGCGAAAUGCGAUAAGUAGUGUGAAUUGCAGAAUUCAGUGAAUCAUCGAAUCUUUGAACGCACAUUGCGCCCUUUGGUAUUCCAAAGGGCAUGCCUGUUCGAGCGUCAUUUGUACCCUCAAGCUUUGCUUGGUGUUGGGCGUCUUGUCUCUAGCUUUGCUGGAGACUCGCCUUAAAGUAAUUGGCAGCCGGCCUACUGGUUUCGGAGCGCAGCACAAGUCGCACUCUCUAUCAAGAAAGGUCUAGCAUCCAUUAAGCCUUUUUUUCAACCUUUGCACU